CCUACGGGUGGCAGCAGUGGGGAAUAUUGCACAAUGGGGGAAACCCUGAUGCAGCAACGCCGCGUGAGUGAGGAAGUAUUUCGGUAUGUAAAGCUCUAUCAGCAGGGAAUAGGAAAGUAGGUACCUGAAAAAGAAGCACCGGCUAACUACGUGCCAGCAGCCGCGGUAAUACGUAGGGGGCAAGCGUUAUCCGGAGUUACUGGGUGGAAAGGGAGCGUAGACGGAAAGGCAAGUCAGAAGUGAAAGCCCCAGGCUCAACCAUGGGACUGCUUUUGAAACUGUCAAACUAGAGUACCGGAGAGGUAAGAGGAAUUCCAAGUGUAGCGGUGAAAUGCGUAGAGAUUUGGAGGAACACCAGUGGCGAAGGCGUCUUACUGGACCAAAACUGACGUUGAGGUUCGAAAGCGUGGGGAGCAAACAGGAUUAGAUACCCCAGUAGUC
rnacentral:rRNA from 1 species